AUAUGCGUGCUAAAUUUAGUACUCGACUAAGUUCACGAACAAGCUCAAACUCGACCCAUAGUGAACCGAACCUGAGCUUCCCAAUUCCAAUACUUGGCUCGGCUCGGCUCGUUUACACUCCUCGCCAAACUGCGGCUUGGCGGAGAUUGAAAUUUUGAUUCCGGCGCGGCUCUUCGCCGUAGUCAAGACGAAAAUCCCAACUCUCUCUCUCUCUCUCUUAAAACUCGCAAGAAGGCUCGGCAGCUUCUCUCUCUAUGUUUUCGUCCAGUUUGAAGCAAGAAACCCUCGGGCUUACUCGUGACCAUUUGAUGAUCAUCCUGCAGAGCUGAGUUAUUUGGGUGUCGUGUUGUCUAACUCGCAUUGAACUCGUUUUCUCAUGUUUUGUGUCCUUAAUCUUGGGUCAUUGUGUCGCGUCGCGUUGGGUCUCGUGGAUCAACCAGAAGGAGCAGGGACCGACCUCGGUAGACUGGGAAGAGGUCGCCAGCAUUUAUGAACGAGCCAAGUCCAUGGCCCUUACCUUCUGCGACAACGUGUAGAAUGGACACUUGCGCUUGCCCGCUUCUGUGAUCAUGUCCCGGAAGAUUACUGUCCCACCUGGUCCCAAUUCUUGCUCAGUCUCUCAGUGAUGAGUAUGUAUCCCUGAACCCAACUUACGCCAUUCAAGGAGCCUCAGCUCAUUGCUUAAAAAGAAUGGCUCGUCUCGGUAACAGGAGUUUGGCCACGGAGAUUUGCCGUUCAGGUGCCAUAGGGUAUAUGAUGAGGCUGCUAUUUUGGGCAAGGGUUUUUUCAGAAGCUGAUGGUGGUUUUUUUCCUUCGGCUUAUACUCAAAUGCCUUGCAGUCUUGGUUAGUAUUAGCGAUGAAUGUCGUGUGGUUUUGAAUGAAGUGAAUGGGUUAAGGUUUAGAAGGCGCGGUGUUUUUUGAUAAUGAAAGACCCGUGCAAUGAUGAGGUGCUUAGGAGUGGGACUGAGGCUCUCAUAUGUAUAUACCAAGACCCGGAUAAUAAACACAGGAGAGGUCUUUUGACUAAUGCUGAGGAAUGGCAAUAUCUGCAGAAACAACUUGAUGCAACCUUGACCUCCGAGGACGAAGACCUUAGAAAAUCCGCGAGGAAGUUGCGCUGGCUUCUAGGGGACCCGAGUUUCAUAUAAUCCUCUGCAAUUUCCUUGAGUUGUUUCUCACCAUGUCUGAGUAACAAAUUUCGUUGCUAGUUUCAUGUAAAAAGAAAGGAACUUUUUACCUGAAAACAUCAAUGAGACUUGAGAUCUAAAUUCUGUCUUCA